rnacentral:lncRNA from 15 species
AUGAAAACUGUUCUGUUCUGGUGCUGGAGGAGGAGAAGAAGGAGGAGAAAACAGAGGAAAUGGGGAUCGACGACAAGAGGGAAGGAGCAGAGCAGCAGUGCCCUGGCAGCGUGCGGUGGAGGCAGGCAAGAUGGCUGCAGGGGACAGAGCACCCGGCCAAAUAUGGUCAUCAGGACCCAGCUCUGUCCUACUUUCUUUAAUGGGCUAAACCAAAGCCUGGAUGAUGCAGGAAGAACCAUAUAUGGUGUGUCCAUCUCAGUCAGCGUUCAGAAUGCAGCCAGCAGUGUGCUGAUGGCUACGCUGCGUGGAUGACACCUCCCGUUGACAGUGGGCUUGGAGCGAGGACGCCAGUCAUAACAUAACAGCAGGAAGGUGGGAGGACAUCACCUCCAAGCACACACACAUACAUAUACAGUGACACACUAUGACACAGUGUUAAAGUCAUAUCAAGGUCCUUAUUUAGAUUGGCUAUCAUCUCUGACCUCUCUCUCCAUCCUCAUUAGUCGGACUAGACAGCCUCUGCAGGCCUGAAGCUGCCGCAGGCCCACACACAAGAUGUCACAUUGCUUCAUCAGUGGUACAGUAACUAAUGCGCACAGCCUGUAGGUUUCGUCCUGCUUGUGGAUGUCUUGUUGUGCCAUAAUUGACUGUUUGAUUGACAUCCAGUCUGGUUCUUCUGAUAGCCUUUUUGGUCAUCUGGAACCAGAUUCCACAAAAACUCAACAGUGACCUCUAAGAAUGCAUUUCACCAGCUUUUUCUCUGAAUGUAGGUGACGUUUGUUGCACGUGAUCUUUUUGAUAGAUCUGGAACAGAUAACAGUGAGGAUUAUGCAACAUCAGGGCGGUGAAAUUUGAAGACUUCUGUUGUCAUUGGAGGAACAGUUAGAGGUGCAGAAUGACUGGAGAGGAGUGCAUAACAUGUAGUCUGGCAAAACUCCAGUACAUACACGAGAGACAAAAAUGGGUUCAAAUCAGGCCUAUGUCACAUUACUCUUUCCUCACAUCUUAGCUUCAAUGUACUGUCCCAAAAAGAAAAAAAAACUAAUAAAAUGCCAAAGUGAAGUCUACUGCCCACUCCUUUUAAAUGUCAGAUGUCAAAAUGUCAAAUGCCCCUCGAAAACGACCUUAAAAAUCAAAAUGAAGGUUGAAACAAGCAUUAUCUAAGGACGUCAUCUGCCCUUAUCUCGGGACCCCAUCCAGCCUGCCUACCCUUUAAUUAUUAAUGUUAGCACGGGUGACAGAAAAAAAUGGCAGGUCUUUACCUUGAGGACAAAACCUUUCAUUAUCUCUUUCUUUCUUUGAGUCUUUGUUCCUAAUUCCAUUUCUCUUUCUCUUUUUCCUUCUCCUCCCCCUUUCUCCGCAUGUCUCAAGCCAAUUCGGUUCAGUUCAAAGGGUCUUUAUUAGCGUGACCAGCCCUGUGGCGAAGUGCCAGCUCACUGAGAGGGAACGCUAUGAUGGAACAUCAGCAAACCACAGGAAUCUCAGCACCGUUUCAUAAACACACGCAUCAGGUGAAGGACAAUCAACAUAGAGAUGAGAAAAUAUAUGUGCGUGUGUGUGUACAGUAUGAGGUCUGUGUGUGAUAUUGUAUCAUAUGUUAUAAUCCAGGCUUAUGUAUAUUUAGCAUAUGAAAUUAUUUUAUUAAGCACACACAAAAGGUAAAUGUGAGAACGCUCUCACCCACACACGUCUAGCUAGCUUUGACUGGCAGAUACAUUGUGUGUUCCAUGAAUUAGUCAUGUCUGCAAGGAGGACACAUCCACGGCAUGCCAAGCAGCUACUGCUGGAAUCAGAAAGACAGAGCGAGAGAGAGAGAAGGGAGUGAUUGGCCGGACUCAUUGACUGUAGGAGAACAGGGGAUUAGCAUCUGUGACAUCACCUAAAGGUGUCUGAUGGGAGGUUUUAAACCCUGAAGUUGGAUUAAGAUACCAAAGACAGAAAUUGAUGUAUGUACAAAAUUAUGGUAAUGGCCCAGAGGCUGUGUGGAGCUGAGAUGGUUUAAGCAAGUAGUUACCACCACAACUGAGUGCAGUAGCUUGGGAACCCUAACCCUUACUUCAAUCUAAACCUUAAUAUCCUCUUAAUGGAACAAUAUUUUCCAAUCACCACCAGGAAACACUUUAGAAAAAGUACAAUUAGCUAUUGAGAAUUAAUGCAUUUAAGGUUCUUUGAUCUCAACACACUUUUCGACUGAUGGCACAAGGGGAUAAAUCGUGUGCUGCACAUCCUUUGCUGCCUUCCUCACUUACUUCAUGUUGAAUACUACGGCGGGUCUUGUGAAUCUUCACUUGGUAAUGAGCACAUACCAUCCUCAUAACAGCCUAAUGAGCACAACCAAGGGCAAACGUAGGUUCACACUCUCACACAUACACACACUGCUGUCAAACAUGCCAUGAAACACAUGUGCACAUACACACCACACAGGUGGUCCCAUAUCCUUGUUGUGUCUCAAGCCAGCUCACCUAUUAGAAAACCAAUCAUGUUCUGCACCUGGGCCUAUCAACAGUAAGAAUGUGGAGCAACGCUAGAAAUCUGCUUAUUUCUUGUCCUACAAACGUUCCAUUUGUCAUAGAAGAAAAAUCAUGAAUGCUGCUAAAAAACCUGAGAAUUCAGGCAACAUUUGGUAGAUUGUUUAUAUAUUGGAAUAAAUGGUUUGUGUCAGGCGGGUAUGUUUUUGUAUAUUUGUGUGUGUGAGCAGGUGUAAUAGAGAGAGGGAAGGACAGUGAGACUAAACAGGGCAGAGAGAGCACACAGUUUAUGUGCUUUCAGAGUACAAAUACUGACAUAGAAUCACUUUGUACUCAUAAAUGAUAACAAAGAAGAGGGACAACGAAGGUCAAAAUGGUCAAAGACCCUCUCUGUGUUGUCACAUUUUUAUAAAAAUUGAGAGGAGAAGGGGGAAGGGUUAGUAAGGGACUGAUUCAAACUUACAUUAUGGCAAAUACAGGGGUCAACACAAUAACAUGAACUACGGUACACUAUAAUAAAACAUUUCUGACAGAACAGCUUCAAAAUAAUGCAGAGCUUUUAAACUGAACAAGAUUACUAUACAGGGGUCAGUGGUAUUGGCAUGCUAUGCUGUGUGCCAGCACGCUAAUACUAGAAUUCAAGUUACACUAUCUGAACUUAACAUAUAGCUGAGGCUUAGCAUGGUC